GUUCCUGGCUCAGGAUGAACGCUAGCUACAGGCUUAACACAUGCAAGUCGAGGGGAAACGACAUCGAAAGCUUGCUUUUGAUGGGCGUCGACCGGCGCACGGGUGAGUAACGCGUAUCCAACCUGCCCCACCACUUGGGGAUAACCUUGCGAAAGUAAGACUAAUACCCAAUGAUAUCUCUAGAAGACAUCUGAAAGAGAUUAAAGAUUCAUCGGUGAUGGAUGGGGAUGCGU
rnacentral:rRNA from 1 species